GCUAUGGUUAUCUCCUUCUUGGAUAUAUAUAUUUUCCUUUCAUUUAUUUUCAGGAUGGUUUGAAUUUUUAUGCAUCUUCCAUCCCAUGCUCCCAAAAGAGGUGGGAAGAGCAGCCGGGAGGACCGGGGAGCCCCUCCUCUUCCCGCCUCACAGCAGACGGCAUCUCUCAGAGCAUCCCCCAAUCAAGGGACAGUCUCCCUCCUCUGCUCCUGGGGAGUGAGCAAAUAAUCCCCUCCACCUCCACACUCCCGAGUAAGCCUGAGGGGCCUUCCAGGGAGCUUCGGAGAACCCCACCUAUAACCCAAUCAGGGAGGUUGGUAGAAUGAAACCGAAAAGGAAGGAAAAAAGCAUGUACCUGCCAAGCUGGUUUCCGCUGGGUUAAAGGCCUCUGUGAAGGCAUCAUUUACCUAAAAUCAUCCAACAUUGACACUGUCACCAAGGUGGCAGUCCCUGAAUCUUGGGCCCGAGUCUCCUGCUCAAGAGGGUCACCUGUGACUCCCUCCUCUCUCAGGCCUUCCAAUACAGCCACAGCCACCCAUAUAAUUGCCCCCAAGUGCUUGGCUAGGUCUCAAUAGUGACAGGGUGCAGCUGGAAGACCGACGUCUCAGGAGCUGAUUUACUUCUCGAAGAACCGAGUUGGACCUUACCACCACUCAUUUUGGCCCUGACCCCAUCCUGUCUUUGGGCCUGUGGAGCAGAGUGGUCAAGCCAUUCCUACUGCAGGGCAGCUGGAGUGGGGCCUUUAGAAUGAAUCUGAGCCAGAUUCCAGCUAAGUUCAACACACUCAAGCUCUGCACCCUCAGGAUGAUGUAGCCCACGGUGCCUGGCUGGACCAAGAAGAAUGAGGACCAGGGCUGUGCUAGAACCAGGUGGGGCUGUGUUCAGAUCCCAACCCACCACUCAGGAGCUCUUGCCUUCACGCAUGUUUAAGAUUUCCUGGACAUCUUCCUGAGUGGCACCUUCAAGGAGGCUGGAUCCAUUUCCACUCCCACCGACAGCAUGCAAAGGGUUUCACCAUGUUGCCCAGGCUGGUCUUGAAAUCCUGACCUCAAGUGAUCUGCCUGCCUCAGCCUCCCAGAGUGCUGGAAUUACAG